ensembl:snoRNA SNORD115 Small nucleolar RNA SNORD115
GUGUCAAUUAUGAGAACUCAUAAUGCCUAGAAAAGACAUUAUAACAUAAAAGUCAUCCUAAAUAAGAUUAUGCUGAGGCC